UGGGACUGUUGAGCUAAACGGCGGAGU
rnacentral:piRNA from 1 species